UGGGGAAUAUUGCACAAUGGGCGCAAGCCUGAUGCAGCCAUGCCGCGUGUAUGAAGAAGGCCUUCGGGUUGUAAAGUACUUUCAGCGGGGAGGAAGGGAGUAAAGUUAAUACCUUUGCUCAUUGACGUUACCCGCAGAAGAAGCACCGGCUAACUCCGUGCCAGCAGCCGCGGUAAUACGGAGGGUGCAAGCGUUAAUCGGAAUUACUGGGCGUAAAGCGCACGCAGGCGGUUUGUUAAGUCAGAUGUGAAAUCCCCGGGCUCAACCUGGGAACUGCAUCUGAUACGGGCGAGCUUGAGUCUCGUAGGGGGGGGUAGAAUCCCAGGUGUAUCGGUGAAAUGCGUAGGAAUCUGGAGGAAUACCGGUGGCGAAGGCGGCCCCCUGGACGAAGACUGACGCUCAGGUGCAAAAGCGUGGGGAGCAAACAGG
rnacentral:rRNA from 1 species